GGCGCCGCCGGAUGCGGCGACUUCUCAGUGGCUGUGGCUGGCGUUGGUCCGAAGCGUGGUGUUCUUCCCUGGUGUCUUUCUGCUUAUCUCUUUCCUCCCUGGGCCCUCCGGCGCGAGGGACCGUCAUCACCUCCCCGAGAGAGGUUGUCCGCGCUGCCAGGCGCUGGGCAGCAGGCUCUCCGGGUGGCCGGGCGGGCGGCGCGGAGACGUCGGCGGGCCUGAUGUCUGCCUUGAGCGCCCGCGGUCCUAGCCUGCCUGUACGCGCAGGUCACUGUAGAAUGGCACCAUUGUUGUGCGGAUGCUGAUGCCCAGCGUUGAGCCUGUCGUCUCCUAUAUUAGGGGAAGUUCUCCUGGCCCUUCCCAACUACCUCCCCUGUGCAAGUUUAUUACAACUGAACGGCCUCAAGGAUGAAGUCUGGCUCUGUUGCCCAAGCUGGAGUGUGUUGGCACCAUCUUGGUUCACUGCAACUUCCACCUCCCAGGCUCCAGUGAUUCUCCUGCCUCAGCCUCAAGGGUAGCUGAGAUUACAGGCUGGAGUGCAGUGGCAUGAUCUCACCUCACUGAGAACCUCCACCUCCAGGGUUCAAGUGAUUCUGCUACCUCAACCUCCCAAAUAGCUGGGACUACAGGGUCUCAUUCUGUCACCCAGGUUGGAGUGCAGUGGCAACAUCAUAGCUCACUGCAGCCUUGAACCCCUGGGCUCAAGUGAUCCUCCUGCUUCAGCCUCCUGAGUAGCUGGGGCUACAGGCACUUUCCCUACAUUUUCAAAGGCCUGCAUCAUCACAUCUGCCACAGCAUUCUCUAUCAUUGAGGCAUUUUCUCAGGAAAUCACCUGUGAAAUAUUUUGCAGCUAACCACCUACCUGUGCCCCACCAGCCAACAUGCUUUACUCCUGCCAGGCAGGUUCUCUGUAGCCCUCUGGAUUCUGUCUGCCUCUGUUAUAUCUUCACGAACAAGUUAUGCAGCCUCAACUAAAGCUUGUAACAAAGCAAAGUUACUCUCCUGAGUGUGUCCUCUGAUGGAUGGUGAGAUAUAACUUCAAGAUGAAGCCUCACCCACACUCCCUGUACAAAAACGCUUCUCACCUGUGUCACUCUGGAAGCUUUGAUCAGAAAAUUGUAGUUGCUGUUGCCUCUGAUGUGCAAGUCCAAGAUUCUUGGGCCGCAGGACAUGUUCUGCAUAUAUUCCUGGAGAAUAGACCAACAAUGAGACUGAAUCAGUAACGAAAAGUCUUCUAUGAAAGAAAAACCCAGAACCAUAUUGCUUUACUGCUUAAUUCUAAUAAACUCAUAAAGAACAACAAACACCAA
rnacentral:lncRNA from 1 species